rnacentral:lncRNA from 1 species
CACAUAUUUAGUAAGCACUUCCUGGUACUAGGUGAACCAGACGGAUUGGAUCCUUGCCUUCAUGAAGUUGACAGUACAGCAGGAAAGAUAGGCAAAUUGUUGCUAAGACUGUUUAUUUAUAUUUAUUCAUUAAUUUAGCCUUCAAUGCAAUGAGAGAGAAUAACAUUAAGGAAUAGCUUUGGAAUGGGAAGAACUCUCUGAACCCUGAAGGAUGAGAAGUCUGGAAAAGAGAGUGGGAAGAGUAGACCAGAAGGAGGAAAAGCCACAUAUUUAAGGUUUUGCUUCUUGCUGCAAGCAGCAGAUUCCUUGGCUUUACCUUCAGAGCUUUUGACUCAAUGCAGAAAUGGAAAAGCCAAUCCUUAAAUUCAAAUGGAAUUGCAGCGGACCCCAAAUAGCCAAAGCAAUCUUGAAAAAGAAGAACAAAGCUGGAAGACUUACACUUCCUGAUUUCAAAACGUAUUACAAAGCUACAGUAAUCAAAAUAGUGUGAUAGUAGCAUAAAGGAUAGAGAGAUAUAUAUCAACGAAAUAGAAUUGAGAGUCCAAAAAUAUACUAAUACAGCUAUGGGGUCAAUUGAUUUUUGACAAGGGUGCCAAGAGCAUUCAAUGGGCAAAAAAUAGUGUCUUCAACAAAUAGUGCUGGGACAACUGGAUAUCCACAUACAAAAAAGGAAGAAGAAGGAGAAGGAGGAGAAGAAGAAGAGGAAGGAAGAGGAGGAGGAGGAAGAGAAAGAAGGAGGAAGAAGAAGGAAGAAGAAGGAGAAAGAAAGAAGAACAAAGAAGAAAGUUGGACCCCUUACCUCGUACCAUAUACAAAUAUUAACUCACUAAGGAGCUUCUGGAUAGCUGAACACAUGAAGAUACUUGGAGGGAAGGUGGCAUGCCUAGAGAUGUAUGAAAGCUCUAUGCCCCUUCCCACAUGGCUUGACCUAUCCAUCUCUCCAUCUGGCUGUUCAUCUUUAAAAUACCCCUUAUGAUAAAUGGGUAAAUGCUACAUGUUCACUUGGCAUCCUAGGUCAGGCAUUUGGUCUCCACCAGAGCCCAGGAACAAGCCCAGGAGCUGUAUAUUUUAUUUUUUCAAAGUGUGAAUGAGUUAUUUGUGUAAAAAGACAUAGCUGCAAUACAAAACUCUAGGAGUCUACGUCAUGAUUCCUCUAUCAGGGAUUCCCAGAUGGUUCACCAGCAUUCCUAUCUGCAAUAGACAUUUGGAGCACUGUUGAAUCUGCUGGGUCAUAAGGCCCAAGCAGGAAAGCAGCUUAUAUCAUACCUGCAAUAGCUUCAGAAACUUUUCUUGCUCUGGUCCUGUAUUAGCUUUCUAUUGCUAUGUAACAAAUUACCACAAACUUAGUGGCCUAAAACAAAAACAAAAAACAAACAAAAAUUUUGAACUCAUUAUGUAUCAAAUACCUAAAUGUAAGAGCAAAAAGUGUAAAACCUUUAGGAGAAAACAUAAGGGUAAAUAUUCAUGACUUUGGAUUUGGCAAUGGUUUCUUUUUUUUUUUUUUUUUUUUUUGAGAGCGGUCUUGCUUUCAUCCCCCAGGCUUGAGUGCAAUGGCUCAAUCUCGGCUCACUGCAACAUCCGCCUCCCGGGUUCAAACGAUUCUCCUGCCUCUGCCUCCCAAGUAGCUGGGAGCAAAGUGCCGGCCAUCACGCCCGGCUAAUUUUUAUAUUUUUUAGUAGAGACAGGGUUCCACCAUGUUGGCCAGGCUGGUCUCGAACUCCUGACCUUAGGUGAUCUGCCCGCCUCAGCCUCCCAAAGUGCUGGGAUUACAGGCAUGAGACACCACGCUCGGCCUGGCAAUGGUUUCUUAAACAUGAUAUCAAAACCACAUGCAACAAAAAGUAAGUAUGGAUACACUGGACUUCAGCAAAAUUAAAAACUUUCAUGCAUCAGAGAACAUCUUCAAGAAAGUGAAAAGACACUUUUCAUUUCAUUUGUCAAUUUGCAAAUCACAUAUCCAAUAAACUUCUAGUAUCCAGAAUAUAUAAAGGACUCAUAAUUUGAUAACAAAAAGACAAUCCUUUUUUUCUGAGACAAGGUCUCACUCUGUCACCCAGGCUAGAGUACAGUGGAAAGAUCACAGUUCAUUGCAGCCUCAACCUUCCUGGGGCUCAAGUGAUCCUCCCACCUGAGCCUCCUGAGUAGCUGGGACUACAGGUGCCACCAUGCCAGGCUAAUUUUUUGUAUUUUUUCGUAGAGAUGGGGUUUUGCCAUGUUGCCCCAGCUGGUCUCAAACUCUUGGGCUCAAGUGAUCCACACUCUUUGGCCUCCCAAAGUGCUGGGAUUGCAGGUGUGAGCACCCUGCCUGGCCUAGAUAACUCAAUUUUUUAAAUGAGCAAAGGACUUGAAUAGACAUUUCUCUAAAGAAGACAUAUAAAUGGCCAAAAAGUACAUGAAAAGAUGCUCAACAUCAUUAGUCAUUACGGAAAUGCAAAUCAAAACUACAAUGAGAUACCACUUUAUACCCACUGUGAUGGCUAUAAUUAAGGAAAAGAACAAGUAUUGGCAAGAAUGUGGGGACACUGAAACCCUUGGGCCUUCCUGAUGGGAACAUAAAAUGGUACAGCCACUGUGGAAAACAGUUGGUGGUUCCUUAAAAUGUUAAACAUAGAAUUGCCGUAUGACCCAGCAG